CUCAUUCUUCCUUUGCUCCUCCCGCACCGAGCCGCCUCACCGAGUCCCUGCACUUCUCCGUGUCGCACAACUCCCGCCCCCUUCCUGCUCAUUCUUUCACCUUCCUGCGCGCCGGCGCCCGUCGCCCGCCCCUCUCCUCCCUCGUCCAGCCUGUGCGCCGCUCAGUCCUCCCCACUCCUCCCUGUGCUCCUCGAGCUCAGCCUGCGAUCCAUCCUAGUCAACGGAAAAGCCACACGGGGAGGCCACGCAGGGCCCACGCUGGGAGGCCACGCAGGGCAUGCGCUCCAGCAACCUGGCAUGGCGCCGCUGGCCGCGCGCCGUGGCCUGGCCAGUGGCCACCCGCCGCUCAGAGCUCCUAACCUAGCUGCAGAUCUGUUCUUCCUCAGCUUGCGGGUAACGGGUGUGCUCCUGCCCGCGGGCAUGCGGGUAUCCAUGCGGAUUUUACCCGAUGCGAUCUCUAGUUGGCCUCGCCGCGUCGCGGCCGAGGGCCGGUGCAACUUGCCAUGCGCGGCCACGGUGGCACAGUGUGAGUGCUCACCGCGAUGGGGGGUCACGGGCUCGCGGGCGCUUGGCCGUGGCGCCGGAGUGGACGUACAUUUCAGUUUCGUCGACGACGCCAUCGAUCGUCGUCGUCUUCUCAAGUGAGCAGACCAACGGUACUGAAAUGUGAAAUCAUACACAGAACACAGAAUUGGCUGAAAGCCUGUACCUGAUCAAGCUAUCCAAUAGCUUCGGACGUUGCUGCUUACUCCACUGGAUACAUUUUCACCGGGGGAAAGACAAUGAACCGGAGAUGAAGGUUGCCCAUGGCAAGGUGUUACUGCUCCUGAUACAUCUCCAACAGAAGACAAGGCUCCAGCGCUACCAGAUGGGCCACGUGUCAGGAAGCCCAAUCCCAGAGUGCACGGGCCAGAAUGGACCAACAUGUUUGCAUAUGUGAAUCAGGCGAUGCCUGUGUAAUGGAGUGAUAUAAACGGGAGAGAUGGGAGAGGAGAGGAUACUUUUGCAUCUGUAACAACUCGUUUCUUCUUUCUCAAGAAGUUGACCUCUUCUCUGCCCAAUUCCUCUGUUCUGCAUCUCAUUCUUCCAAUCCUUGCCCCUGCUACCCUGUUGUGCUAACACAAGGUCGUUGACUUUUCUCAACACAGGUAUCUGUUUUUUUCUCUA